AAUUCGAUUGAGUUUGAUCCUGGCUCAGAGCGAACGCUGGCGGCAGGCCUAACACAUGCAAGUCGAGCGCCCGUAGCAAUACGGGAGCGGCAGGCGGGAGAGUAACACGUGGGAACGUACCCUUCAGUUCGGAACAACCCAGGGAAACUUGGGCUAAUACCGAAUACGUCCGUAAGGAGAAAGAUUUAUCGCUGAAGGAUCGGCCCGCGUCUGAUUAGCUAGUUGGUGGGGUAAUGGCCCACCAAGGCGACGAUCAGUAGCUGGUCUGAGAGGAUGAUCAGCCUCACUGGGACUGAGACACGGCCCAGACUCCUACGGGAGGCAGCAGUGGGGAAUAUUGGACAAUGGGCGCAAGCCUGAUCCAGCCAUGCCGCGUGGAUGAUGAAGGCCUUAGGGUUGUAAAGUCCUUUCGGCGGGGAAGAUAAUGACGGUACCCGCAGAAGAAGCCCCGGCUAACUUCGUGCCAGCAGCCGCGGUAAUACGAAGGGGGCUAGCGUUGCUCGGAAUCACUGGGCGUAAAGCGCACGUAGGCGGACUCUUAAGUCGGUGGUGAAAUCCUGGAGCUCAACUCCAGAACUGCCUUCGAUACUGAGAGUCUCGAGUCCGAGAGAGGUGAGUGGAACUGCGAGUGUAGAGGUGAAAUUCGUAGAUAUUCGCAAGAACACCAGUGGCGAAGGCGGCUCACUNGNUCGGUACUGACGCUGAGGCGCGAAAGCUAGGGGAGCGAACGGG
rnacentral:rRNA from 1 species